rnacentral:rRNA from 1 species
AUUGAACGCUGGCGGCGUGCUUAACACAUGCAAGUCGUGCGGUAACAGGCGUAGCAAUACGUGCUGACGAGCGGCGAACGGGUGCGUAAUACAUGGGAAUCUGCCUUUUAGUGGGGAAUAACCCGGCGAAAGCCGGGCUAAUGCCGCAUAAGAUCUUCGGAUGAAAGCGGGGAUCGUAAGACCUCGCGCUGAUAGAUGAGCCCAUGCCGGAUUAGCUAGNGGUGAGGUAACGGCUCACCAAGGCGACGAUCCGUAGCUGGUCUGAGAGGACGGCCAGCCACACUGGGACUGAGACACGGCCCAGACUCCUACGGGAGGCAGCAGUGGGGAAUAUUGGACAAUGGGCGCAAGCCUGAUCCAGCCAUGCCGCGUGUGU